GAUGAACGCUGGCGGCGUGCCUAAUACAUGCAAGUCGAGCGAACAGACGAGGAGCUUGCUCCUCUGACGUUAGCGGCGGACGGGUGAGUAACACGUGGAUAACCUACCUAUAAGACUGGGAUAACUUCGGGAAACCGGAGCUAAUACCGGAUAAUAUAUUGAACCGCAUGGUUCAAUAGUGAAAGACGGUUUUGCUGUCACUUAUAGAUGGAUCCGCGCCGCAUUAGCUAGUUGGUAAGGUAACGGCUUACCAAGGCAACGAUGCGUAGCCGACCUGAGAGGGUGAUCGGCCACACUGGAACUGAGACACGGUCCAGACUCCUACGGGAGGCAGCAGUAGGGAAUCUUCCGCAAUGGGCGAAAGCCUGACGGAGCAACGCCGCGUGAGUGAUGAAGGUCUUCGGAUCGUAAAACGCUGUUAUUAGGGAAGAACAAAUGUGUAAUUAACUAUGCACGUAUUGACGGUACCUAAUCAGAAAGCCACGGCUAACUACGUG
rnacentral:rRNA from 1 species